rnacentral:rRNA from 1 species
UACAGAGGUCCCAAGCGUUGUUCGGAUUCACUGGGCGUAAAGGGUGCGUAGGCGGUCGGGUAAGUCUGAUGUGAAAUCUCACAGCUUAACUGUGAAACUGCAUUGGAUACUAUCCGGCUAGAGGAAUGGAGGGGAGACUGGAAUACUUGGUGUAGCAGUGAAAUGCGUAGAUAUCAAGUGGAACACCAGUGGCGAAGGCGAGUCCCUGGACAUUUCCUGACGCUGAGGCACGAAAGCCAGGGGAGCAAACGGG